rnacentral:tRNA from 1 species
CUGGGAGAGCACCUGCCUUGCACGCAGGGGGUCAAGAGUUCGAAUCUCUUUAUCUCCACCA